rnacentral:rRNA from 1 species
UACGUAGGGUGCGAGCGUUGUCCGGAAUUAUUGGGCGUAAAGAGCUCGUAGGCGGUGUGUCACGUCGUUCGUGAAAACCUGCAGCUUAACUGUGGGCGUGCGGUCGAUACGGGCAUCACUGGAGUUCGGCAGGGGAGACUGGAAUUCCUGGUGUAGCGGUGAAAUGCGCAGAUAUCAGGAAGAACACCCCGUGGCGAAGGCGGCUCUCUGGGGACGGUACUGACGCUGAGACGCGAAAAGCGUGGGGGAGCGAAACAGGG